UAAUUUAAAGUCUAGCCUGCCCAAUGAUAAUUUUAAUGGCCGCAGUAUUUUGACUGUGCAAAGGUAGCAUAAUCAUUAGUUUCUUAAUUAGAAACUGGAAUGAAAGGUUGAACGAAAAAAUAACUGUCUCUUUAUAAUUUUUUUAGAAUUUUAUUUUUAAGUUAAAAAGCUUAAAUAGAUUUGAAAGACGAGAAGACCCUAUAGAGUUUAAUAUUUUCUAAAUUGAAUUUUUAAAUAGAAUAAUUUUUAUUUAAUUGAAGAAAAUAUUUAAUUGGGGUGAUUGAAAAAUUUAAUUAACUUUUUUUAUAUUAAAACAUAAAUAUAUGAUUAAUUGAUCCAUUUUUAAUGAUUAAAAGAUUAAAUUACCUUAGGGAUAACAGCGUAAUUUUUUUUAAGAGUUCUUAUCGAUAAAAAAGUUUGCGACCUCGAUGUUGGAUUAAAAUUAAAAUUUGGUGUAGAAGCUAAAUCAUUAGGUCUGUUCGACCUUUAAAAUUUU
rnacentral:rRNA from 1 species